AUAAUUACCUGACAGGGAGGUACCAUGAUCAUGAAGGUGAUUUCCCCAGGAUGCCACUCACCCACUGCACACUAGAUGUGCUGACCAUCAUGAUUUCACUCUGAGAAACUCAACUUGGUAAUUUGUGGUGGGGGUACUGAAUUCACACUCUUCCCUG
rnacentral:snRNA from 1 species